GACAGACAACAGAAAGAUGUUCUAUCUUCAUAAAGUGAGCAAUUGUAUAUAUUUUGGUAAUGGGGAUAAAAACAGGACAUCAUUGCUAACACUUCUCCAUCAAUGAGCAGACAUGGAAAGCAAUUCCUCUGUGUGGACCACCACCAGGCUGGUGAGAUGGAGAAAUGCAUGAUGAGGGUGAGGAGGAGAGGAAGAAAAGGAGGAGCAUGAGGGAGUUCUGGGGGGAUGGGGUGCCAGCUUUCACUGUUGAGCAGAGACAUCUGGAAGCAUUUACGUCUGCACUAACACAGAGAGCGGCAUAGGCCCAACAGUUACAUCACUCACAGUUCCACACAAUCCCCUGCCCCCAACACACACACACACACACAGGACUAAAUACUUGACUGCACGUGCAAAGACAAACAAACAUACAUGAGCCUGAACAAACUCAAACACAUAUUAUGGGAUUUUGGAGUGUGCGAAAACAUGCACUCGUACAGAUAUGACCAACUGCUGAAACACUAAAAAGUACAGGAGGACUCGUGCACAAGCGCCUAUACGCAUGCACGCUUGUACACACUUGUACACACACACACACACAAUCACACCCCCCUCCAGCCCCCGUAACCCAGUACGAUUUCCUGCAAAUUCCAAAGUCAGAUCCCGGCUGGAACAUUUCAGCCCGCCUGCCACGUCAGUUUGCCUCCACCAUCCUCCCUCUCUCAUUCUCUUUCUUUGCUGUUUCUCAAAAGGCUGCCGACAUGAAAAUGCACUGUUUUCAGUUGGUGUUUGGGCACACUGAGGCCACUGGACUGGAGUUCAUCUUUAGUAGUGGUAUCUUUAAGGGGUCUUUUUAUUUUGCUGGAAGAAUGGAUAUGACCGAGGCCUUGGGAAGAAGAUCAAGCGGGUAGCGACCUGCAGCCGCAAUGACCUCGGGGUCCUUCCUCCCAUCAGUCCUCCUCAUCUCCCCACCCCACCCCCACCCCCGCCUGCCCAGUGUUCAGACUACCUGUUCAUCAGGCUACAGCUGAACAGUAGUCUGCACAUUGGUUAGGCUGGGCUGGGAUGCACACACCUCCAGCCAUCGUGGGUGAUUACACCAAAUCUCCACUUGGGAUAGUUUAUCACAACAGUGCCAAAUAUAGUAUCUUCAUCUUUAUGCAUUCCUGAGUGACUGUGUCAUCUUAUCUUAGCUAGCCAUAUCCCUGUGUGUCCACUGAAAUACAGCAUUGGAACAGAAAUUCCUCUCACCUCUUCAUCUUUAUACCAGGACAGGGACUCAGCAGUCAGGACAAACCAGUACUCCUUGGAGCCUCCCUUCAUGAUGCUGAUGUUAAUGGUUAGCCAGCCUUUCCUGAUCACCUGAGAAGAUGUGGAAGAGAAAAGGGUGGUAGGGAGAGAGAGGUACCAGGAGGAUGGAAGAAAACAGCUUUGUCAAUCAGGCAUAUACACUGGUGACAUGAGGGCCCCAUGAUUGUUGCACCAUUAAUACUGGGAUGUGACUGACAGUAAUAAAAUCUUACCUGCUUACCUGCUAGGUCACUGCAAA